UACGGGGGGGGCAAGCGUUGUUCGGAAUUACUGGGCGUAAAGGGCUCGUAGGCGGCCAACUAAGUCAGACGUGAAAUCCCUCGGCUUAACCGGGGAACUGCGUCUGAUACUGGUUGGCUUGAAUCCGGGAGAGGGAUGUGGAAUUCCAGGUGUAGCGGUGAAAUGCGUAGAUAUUCGCAAGAACACCAGUGGCGAAGGCGGCUCACUGGCCCGGUACUGACGCUGAGGUGCGAAAGCGUGGGGAGCAAACAGGG
rnacentral:rRNA from 1 species